rnacentral:rRNA from 1 species
CCUACGGGGGGCAGCAGUGAGGAAUAUUGGUCAAUGGGCGGAAGCCUGAACCAGCCAAGUCGCGUGAGGGAAUAAGGCCCUACGGGUCGUAAACCUCUUUUGCCGGGGAGCAAGGGCCGGGACGCGUCCCGGCCCGGAGAGUACCCGGAGAAAAAGCAUCGGCUAACUCCGUGCCAGCAGCCGCGGUAAUACGGAGGUGGCAAGCGUUGUCCGGAUUUAUUGGGCGUAAAGCGAGUGCAGGCGGGUCAAUAAGUCUGA